rnacentral:rRNA from 1 species
UACAGGGGGUGCAAACGUUGCUCGGAAUCAUUGGGCGUAAAGCGCACGUAGGCGGUUUGUUAUGUCGGAUGUGAAAGCCCUUGGCUCAACUGAGGAAGUGCAUCCGAAACUGGCAAGCUAGAGUACUAAAGAGGGUCGCGGAAUUCCCGGUGUAGAGGUGAAAUGUGUAGAGAUCGGGAGGAACACCGGUGGCGAAGGCGGGUCUCUGGGCAAUUCCUGACGCUGAGGCGCGAAAGCGUGGGGAGCAAACGGG